rnacentral:lncRNA from 1 species
GCAGGUGCUGGUGCUGGACGAGGUCCCGGCCGACAGGGCCGCCGAGGUGCUCCGUGUCGCUGCUGUCUCAGGCAGACCGCGAGGGGACGGCGACCUUCCCAUGGCGAGGAAGGCGUCGCUGCAGCGGUUCAUGGAGAAGCGCAAGGGGCGGCGCGCCGUCCCCUACAGCCGGCCCGACGGCGACGCGUUCUCCUGUAACCGUCUCACGCUUACGCUCUGAUCCCUGUUCAUGCGUACUAGAGUAGCUGAGUAAUUUACGGUCCAUGUAAAUGUGUGGCAGUUGUUGGAGUCCAAAUUUUGAAUUAUGACUAGAAUUAUUGAUGUCGUUGUUUUGACCAACUGGUCAUGGCGAGUUGGCUUGCUUUGCUUCUUUUAUUUAUGACCAAUCCAUGGUCCUCUUUUCAGGUGAAACACAUGGUCUUUGCUUCACGUGCGGGAUGACUUGCUGCUAGUAUUUCCCGCUUUGCCCUAUGGGCAAAUGGGCCCAUACACGAUCGCCAUCGCGCACCGGCAUGUAAAUGUUCCUAGUGGGUCCGGUCCAAGGUUGCGGAAAGGAGUAGCGUCGUAGACAAUCAUACAAAAAUAGAAGAUACAGGAAGUAGUGAAGAAUCAAGCUUUAUUAUUGAUUAUCUCUGUUACAAUGAUUGACUGUUCUGUGCUUAUAUAGAGGUAUGAGGUCAAGGGAUAAGUACCCACUUAACGUGAGAUCAGAGAACGAUAGGAGCUGGUUGCGUGCCUCGCACGCAAGCCUGACCACGCUACCACGCGCUAGCAACCGGGCCGUGGCCCAGUUUCCCAACACCCUCUUUGGGUAAUUAUCCGUAUAUCCAUGUCUCAAACUCUGAAAAACCCGGUGGAAAAAAUAUGAAGAAAUAGUACACAAUAUACGUUGUUGUAUUACACAAAUUGCCUCGUUAAAAACCUUAGGUGAGAAACAUCAGGAAAGCUCACUCAAGGGAAAAAGAGUACAAUCCACUCAACCACCUGGUUGAGUACUCAAUCGUCGGGAUCGAGAUUCUAUUAACGAAUUUGUGAAGUUUCUCCCCCUGAACCUUGCAUUUCUCUAAGUCUCAUCAUACCGAUUCCACGCACACACCUCUCAAAGGAUGAUGCCGGUAAUGAUUUAGUGAACAUAUCAACAAGAUUGUCACAUGACUUAGUAUGCAAGAUUCUCACCUCGUUCAUCUGUUACAAUUCGUGUGCAUAGAAGAACUUGGGACUUAUAUGUUUUGUGAGGUUACUCGGAAAACUCCCACGUCUCCCUCCCAACCCUAGCUGCCUCCCCCUCCCCCUCCCUUCCUCGUCGUCGCCUGAGGCAGCCGCCGGGCAAGCCCGGGGCGCCAAGGAUGGUGGCGGCGGGGCCUAGGCUGCCCUGCAUCUGCAUGCGGAGACCCGGAUCUGGAGCGGCGGCUCCAUUGGCGAGGCACGGCAGGCUAGCAGCCGUGUGGGAGGUGGAUCCGGCGUCUCGGCCGCGCGGGCGGCGAGAUCCGGUGGUCGUUGGCAUCCUGCGGCGGCUUUUGCGGUGGCCGGUGCGCGCGAUCUGGCGCCUCUCCCCUCCUCCCGUGUUCGGCGUGCGGGGCAGCCUGGUCGGGCCGCGCUUUCUUGGAUUGCCGGUUUUGUACAGGAGGUGCCGCUAUUGGUGGGGAUCUAGUUCGGGCGAAAUCCCUGGUCGGCCAUGGCCGGCCGCAUCGAUGGCGACGCCUGAGGGCGUCGUUCCCCUCCUUGGAGGCGUCAGUAUGGACUGAUCCCCUCACUUCCCCUUCCCCCAGGUCUCCCGGGCGAAAGCCUUAACUUUGUUGGGUGGCGGCGGCGCUCACGGCGCGGUUCCCUUCUUGAAGGCGCCGCUUUGGGAACCUUGGGGCUGGGUGGCGCUUGUGGGUGGUGGGCGACGAUGGUGGUGCGGCCCUAUCCUAGCAUGGAUCUCCGUCCGUUGCUUGGAGAUGGACUCGCGUAGGUGGAGGUCGUCGUUUGGCGUCAUGAUGGCGUCGAUGGCGGAGGCACCUGCCAAGGCUGGUACCUCAAUCUGAUCUGAAGAUGGACCAGUGGAAGAUGGCGGCGACAACACAUGUGAGUGCGUCGGAUCGGUUUGUGCCCCGAACCCGGUAUGUGGCUCGGUGAGGGUCUCCGGCUUUAGAUGUUAGGCUUAGGUGAGAGGUCUGGGUAUUUGGUCCAGCUUGCACCCCUUCAUCAUAUGAAUAGGAGUAGCGACAGAUGUUGCCAAGAUGGCGGAUUCAGACAUAUUGUUGUACUCCUUUGUAAGGUCCUCGAGAAUAAUUAAUAAAAUGGCCGCAUGCAUCUCCCAGAUGCAGAGGCCGGGGGUCAUCCUCCUUUUCUAAAAAAAAUAUAUGCUUUGUGAGGUUACUCUUCACAUAACCCAUCUGAACUUAUGCAAUACAAGAAACAUUAUCUUCAUAGAUAAUGGUAGGGUUUUGUAUGGUGUUCAGCCCCUGAUUAAUGUGGCUGAUCAUCCGCCGAAGCGAUACACAUUCCUUUGACGCUUUGAAUAAUGCGAUUAUUUCCGAGUGGUUUGUGGAGGUCGACACAAGUGUUCCUUGAUUGAUCUCCAGGAGAACGCAGUUCCACCAUAAAGGAAAACAUAUCCAGUCUGUGAUUUGCAAUCAUGCGGGUCCGACGGAUACCCAGCAUCGACAUAGCCUAUAAGGGAUAGGUGUUGAUUCCUUCUAUAAAAUAGGCCAAGAUCUUUGGUCCCUUGCACGUAACGGAAGACGUCCUUGACACCUUUCCAAUGUCUCUUGGUAGGUUCAGAACUGUACCUAGCAAGCAAAUUGACGACGAAAACAAUGUCUGGCCAUGUACAAUUUGCGAGGUACAUGAGUGCUCGAACUGCACUUAGGUAAGGAACCUUUGGUCCCAGAGUUUCCUCCCCCUCUUCCUUAGGCCUGAACGGGUCCUUGUCUGGCUGUAAAGAUCUCCCGACCAUCGGGGUCUUAGAAGGAUAUGCCUUAUCAAAUCCAAAUCUUUCCAACACCUUCUGGGCGUAGGCCGACUGGUGCACUAGAAUCCCAUUAAGGAAAUGUUCAAGUUGCAGACCUAGACAGAACUUGGUUUUACCCAAAUCUUUCAUCUCGAAUUCCGACAUCAGGUAGGAACUCGCUUCCUCAAUAUCCUUAGGUGUACCGAUUAUGUUUAAGUCGUCCACAUACAUCGAGAUUAUACAGAAUCCAUCUUGGGAUCGUCGUAUAAAAACACAUGGGCAAUCUCUAUUGCUCGUGUAGCCCUUGUGAUGAAGGAAAUCGCUUUGGCGACUAUACCACAUUCUACCGGACUAUCUAAGUCCGUACAAUGCCUUUUGAAGUUGAACACUGUAUAGACUCAUGUUUGCUCUAUCAUGGUUCGGAACAGGGAUACCUUCAGGAACCUUCAUGUAUAUGUUCGAAUCCAAGUUACCAUAAAGGUAAGCAUUUACAACAUCCAUCAAUUUCAUUUUUCAAGCCCAUGUUUACUGCCAAUGAGAUCAAGUAUCUAAAGGUAACUCCAUCCAUGACCGAGGAAUAGGUCUCCUCAAAAUCGACACCAGGUCGUUGAGUGAACCCUUGAGCAACGAGCCUUGCUUUGUACCGUACUACCUUAUUAUUUUCAUCUCUCUUUCGAACAAAACCCCACCUAUGGCCAACAUGGCGAAUGUGGGGAGGAGUUCGACAAACUGAUUCGAACACCUUCCUUUUGUUGAGAGAUAAUAACUCGACAGUAAUUGCCUUCUGCCAAUCAUUCCAAUCCGACCUUUUCUUGCAAUCAACGAGCGUUUUAGGCUCAGGGUCAAGAUCUAUGAUUGAGGCAAUUUUCGUAGCAAAUUUAAUGUCGACAAUCAAUGUUGUUCGGUUCAGAGACCCCCCCCCAUAUAAAUAUAAUCUAUGGCCAUUUCGUCAUGGAGCGCAUCUGGUGCUAACACUUGCUCUACCAAAUUUCCCAUUCUGGGAGCAAGGUCCUUUAGACUUCCCGCGCCGAUGUGUGCACACACAUCUCCGCUGGGUGUUUCCCCUAUGGGAAAGUUUAAGUCCGGAAUUUCGUGCACUGAAUUUUCCGUACUUGUGCCAGGUCUCGACUAGCUCCCCAUUUCACUUUGGGGCACUUUGGUGACAGGCUGUAAUAAGUCUCUCGUAUCCUUUUUCAUCAAGCGUCCCCGAGUACUUGGGAUUUGAGAAGCCGGAUCUCUCGUCCUUUUAGGCCUUUGGAUGGGAGAGGGUAUACCAUCCUUCUUCUUUGGUAUUUCGACCCUUUCCGGUGCAUUGCGUGCACGCACAUGCGAUUUUGUCACAGUCUUUAAGUCACUAAAGUGGUUAGGUAGUUGAUUUGCUAAUGACUGCUAAUCUAUUAUCUUUUGGACUUCUCUCUCAGUCUCAGUAGUGCGCGGGUCAUGAGCGUGGAUUCUUGUGGCUUGCCACGUGAUUUCUCGACUUUUAGCAUCAAGGGGUUAAUUCUCUCCCCCUAAAGUCGAGAAAAAAUCCUCAUCAAAAAUGCAAUCAGCAAAACGAGCCGUGUGACAAUCACCUCUCAUGGGAUCCACAUACCUCAUUAUGGACACAGUCUCAUAAUCAACGUAUAUCCUCGACUUAUGGAGCGGGCCCUUUGCUGAUCGCUGGGGUGGUGGUAUUGGUACGUAUACCUGGCAACCGAACCUACGAAGGUGGGAAAUUUUCGGUGCCGACCCUUGUGCAAGCUGAACAGGAGAGUAGAUGUUGUAGGCCGACGGUCUAAAGUUGAUGAGUUUGGCCCCGUGUAACACUGCGUGGCCUCAACAUGUAGUUGGUAAAUUACAACCCUGAAGGAGCGGUGAUGUCCCACAAGCGUAUGGGAUCACAUCAGUUUUCGAGGGUAGAGUAUUCAACCCAAAUUUAUUGAUUUGCCAAGACGGGAAGCGAAAGAAUAUUCUCAAGUAUUAGUAGCUGAAUGUGUCAGAUUCAACCACACCUAAAAGAUUAGUGUCUUCAAGCAAAGUAUCAGUAGCAAGGUAGUAUGAUAGCAACGGUGCCAGAAAUGAUCUGUUGACACGACAGACUAUUCCUAACAGUUGUAUCAAUGGCGCUAGCACGUUGAUGGGGGAUUAUUAUUGAGAAGAAUGCUUCCCCGGCUACGGCUCCAACAAAGUCUUGCAACAAGUAACAGCGAAGCAGCAAGGAACAGCAGUAGCAGCAGUAGCAAAGUUGAAAAGGACGUUGAUGUCGCCUAGAGGGGGGGGGGGUGAAUAGGCGCUUUAAAAUAGUUAAGGUUUAGGCUUGAACAAAUGCGGAAUAAAACUAGCGUUUAAUAUGUCAAGCACAAAACCUACAAACAACUAGGCUCACCUAUGUGCACCAACAACUUAUGCUAAGCAAGAUAAACAACUAAGUGAUAGCAAGAUAUAUUACAAUAAACAAUAUGUCUAUCACAAAGUAAAGUGCAUAAGUAAAGGGUUCGGGUAAGAGAUAACCGAGGCACGGGGAGACGAUGAUGUAUCCCGAAGUUCACACCCUUCCGGAUGCUAAUCUCCGUUAGAGCGGUGUGGAGGCACAAUGCUCCCCAAGAUGCCACUAAGGCCACCGUAAUCUCCUCACGCCCUCGCACAAUGCAAGAUGCCGUGAUUCCACUAAGGGACCCUUGAGGGCGGUCACCGAACCCGUACAAAUGGCAACCCUUGGGGGCGGUCACCGAACCCGUACACGUGGCAACCCUUGGGGGCGGUUACCGGUACCCGUACAAAUUGCUCGGGGCAAUCUCCACAACAAUAUCAAGGGUACUAAGUACCAAAGGUAGUAAGCUUCUCAACUUCUCACUCCCACGUAUCAUCGUGGAGAACUCAAACCGAUGCAACUAAUGCAAUGGCAAGAACACACGAAGUGGUCAAGUCCCUCACACUCAAAUCCCUCCACAACAACAAAAGCUAUGGAGAAAUAUGAGAGGAAGAACAAGGAGCUCACAAAGAACUCCAAGAUCAAGAUCCAAGGGGUUCCCCUCACAUAGAGGAGAAAGUGAUUGGUGGAGAUGUGGAUCUAGAUCUCCUCUCUCUUUUCCCUCAAGAACAUGCAAGAAUCAUUGGAGGGAUUGAGAGUAAUCAAGCUCUAAGAAUGUCAAUAAUGGAGGUAGAACAAGAGCUCAACGGAUGGAUCAGGCCAAGGGGGAAGAAGACCCCCUUUAUAUAGUGGGGGAAAGAAUCAGACCGUUACCCCCACUCUCUGCCCGAGCUCCAGCGGUACUAGCGCUGGCACUCCAGCGGUACUACCGCCAGCUAGCGGUACUACCGCUGGCUGCAGCGGUACUACCGCUGGUCCCAGCGGUACUACCGCUGGGCCCCUGGUAGUGCAAAGGCACUACCACCGCCAAGAAAGUCUUCGCAAAAAGGUCCGUCCACGAACAACCGCUAGGAAAGCGGUACUAAGCUCCUGGAGCGGUACUACCGCUGACCAGGGGCGGUACUACCGCGAGCCAGUGGUACUACCGCCAACUCUAGCGGUACUACCGCCAGGUCCAGCGGUACUACCGCUCGCCACUGAAACAGCCAUAACUUUCGCAUACGAGCUCCGAAUCGAGCAAACCCAAGCUUGUUGGAUUCAGGAUGACAAGGGCUAUCCAAACAGUGAAUGGAAAUCUUAAGACCAUGCGGUUAUGAAUAUGCCAAAGAUAUAGAGAUGUGAGAUCUCUAUGAAUGAAGAACCGGCAAAAACUCCAACAUCGAAAACAUCAUAGUAGAUGCAUAUCGACUCCGUUUUCGAUGAACUCGAGCUUGUCACGAAGAUGACCAUAAGCUCUAAAACUCACAAAGAGAAACACCAAACAAGAACCAAGAAGUAUGAUGCAAGUAUGCAAAUGGAUUGAGCUCUCAACGAACGAUACGAUCAAGCUACUCACUUGAGAGCCCCCCUUGAUAGAACAGCAAUCUAUCCUAACCAGAAAACCUAUCAAGGGCAAACCUAUACCUUGCACCUCGUCCUCUUGAGCUAGAUGAUGAUGAUCUUGGCUUCCUCAAGAUGGACCACCUUUCUUGAUUGUGUUGGCUUGAUGAAGACUAGUUGAUUGCUCCCCCAUACUCACUAUGGGUGAGCCACUCUUCAGCAUAUCUUCACAAGUCCAUUGCCACCACAAUGGACGGCAAGCUUCAAGCAUGCUAUCUUCGUGCUGAUCCAUUUGAACUUGCACAUCGCAAUCUUGAUGAAGAUCACAACUUGACGCCAUAUUCCAUGGGUUGUAUGAGAUCUUCCCUUUGACGCAAGCCCAUGGAAACACACCUAACCCCCNCUGAGAUCUUGAUCAACGAUGUGUCUAUAUGACCAUUCUUUGGAUAAUACCUUGAAUACCUUCUUGGUCAUCAUAUAAACUCCUUGAACCCAACAGAUGGACUUCAAGAAGUGCCUAUGGAAAAAUCCUAUAAAUGUAACUUAAGGCAACCAUUAGUCCAUAGGAAUUGUCAUCAAGUACCAAAACCACAUAUGGAGAUAUAUGCUCCAACAAAAGUAACAGCAGUAGCAACAGUAGCAGCAAAGUGACAACAAUAGCAACAGUAGCAGCAAAGUGGUCCAAUCCCUUCUGUAACAAGGGACAAGCCUAGACAAAGUAACGUAGCGAGGACCAGUAGUAAAAGACUCGUAGGCAGUGGAUCGGUGAUGAAUCAGUAUGACGGAUGUGAUUCAUCAUGUAACAACUAUAACACGGAGAGAUAUGUAACUAGCUCCCGUUCAUCAAUCUAAUGUAGGCAUGUAUUCCGUAUAUAGUCAUACGUGCUUAUGGAAAAGAACUUGCAUGACAUCCAUUGUUCAUCCCUCCCGUGGCAGCGGGGUUCUAAUGGAAACUACGGGAUAUUGAGGUUAUCCUUUUAAUAAAGAACCGGACCAACGCAUUAACACGCGGUGAAUACAUGAACUCCUCAUACUAUGGUCAUCUCCGGGAGUGGUUCCGGCUAUUGUCACUCCGGGGUUGCCGAGUCAUAACACAUAGUAGGUGCUACAACUUGCAAGAUAGAAUAUAAAACACACAUAUAUUNNNNNNNNNNNNNNNNNNNNNNNNNNNNNNNNNNNNNNNNNNNNNNNNNNNNNNNNNNNNNNNNNNNNNNNNNNNNNNNNNNNNNNNNNNNNNNNNNNNNNNNNNNNNNNNNNNNNNNNNNNNNNNNNNNNNNNNNNNNNNNNNNNNNNNNNNNNNNNNNNNNNNNNNNNNNNNNNNNNNNNNNNNNNNNNNNNNNNNNNNNNNNNNAGUGACAAGCAUUAAGCAUAGCCAAGUAGUAGCAACAUCAAUCUAGAACAUAGUGGAUACUAGGGAUCAAUCCCCGUCAAAAACUAACUCGAUUACAUGAUAGAUCUCAUCCAACUCAUCACCUUCCAGCAAGCCUACGAUGAGAUUACUCAUGAACGAUGAAGAGCAUCAUGGAAUUUUCGAUGGAGAAAGGUUGAUGAUGACGAUGGCGAUGAUUUCCCCUCCGGAGCCCGAAACGGACUCCAGAUCUUCCCUCCAGAUGAAGAAUAGGAUGUGGCGGUGCCUCCGUAUCGCAAAACGCGAUGAAACCUUCUCUCUGAUUUUUUCCCAGGCGAAACGAAGAUAUAGAGCUGAGAUUGGGGGCGGUGGUGCCACGUGGGCCCCACAAGCCUGCACGGCGCGGCCAUAGGGGGUGGUCGCGGCUUGUGGGCUUGUGGCCCACUAGCACGCCCCCUCCGGUGGAUCUUUGCGCAGGUAUUUUUCUUUUAUUCCAGAAAAAAUCUCCGUAAAUUUUCAGGACGUUCCGAGAACUUUUAUUUCUGCACAAAAACAACACCAUGGCAAUUCUGCUAAAAACAGCGUCAGUGCGGGUUAGUUCCAUUCAAAUCAUGCAAAUUAGAGUCCAAAACAAGGCAAAAGAGUUCGGAAAAGUAGAUACGACGGAGACGUAUCAACUCCCCCAAGCUUAAAGCCUUGCUUGUCCUCAAGCAACUCAGUUGACAAGCUGAGAGAGACAAAAGAAAAACUUUGACGAACUCUGUUUGAUCUUGUUGUUGCAACUAUGUCUAACUCACAACCAGAAUUUCAGCAAGAUCACAAGUAAACUACAUAAGCAAAUGACAUCUAGGUCUCACGGUAAACUCAUAUCAAUGGCAUAAUCAACUAGCGAGCAGAUAAUAAUAAGUCUCAAGUGUCAACACUUCAAUCAAAACAACAUGAAGCAAUACGAAUAGAUGGUAUCUCGCUAGCUCUUUCCGAGACCGCAAAACAUAAAUGUAGAGCACCUUCAAAGACCAAGGGCUGACUAAACAUUGUAAUUCAUGGCAAUGAAGAUCCAGUCAUAGUCAUACUCAACACAUUUAAAAGUAAAGCAUAAAAAUGAAAGAGGUGCUCUCUAAUUGGUGCUUUUGUAAGAGGAGGAUGACUCAACAGGAACAUAAAUAGACAGGCCCUUCGCAGAGGGAAGCAUUGAUUUGCAGAGGUGCCAGAGCUCAAGCUUUGAAAACACAGAUAAUAAUUCUGGGUGGCAUGCUUUCAUUGUCAACGCAAUGACUAAGAGUUCUCAACAUCGUCCACGGUACACAUGCUAUAGGCGGUUCCCAAACAGAAAAGUAAAGUUUUGACUCCCCCACCACCAAUCAAUCACAUUCCACGGCUAGCCGAAUCCUCGGGUACCGUCCAAACCAACAUCAAUCCUGGGGGAGUUUUGUUUGCAAUUAUCUUUUCGAUUUGAGCAUGGAACUGGGAAUUCCAAUUACCGGCCCCUUUCUCAUGAAUGAUAGUGAAUAAACACAUAUCGAGGAUAACACGCCUAGCAUGGAAGAUACAAUAGCCCCUUGUCACCACAUGAGCGGUUCGGGUAUGCAAAACAUAUUAUUUCUUGAAGAUUUAGAGAGUGGCACAUGCAAAUUUACUUGGAAUGGCAGGUAGAUACCGCAUGGUGGACUCAUAUUGGCACAACUUUGGGUUUAUGGUAGUGGAUGCACAAGCAGUAUUCCCGCUUAGUACAAGUGAAGGCUAGCAAAAGAAUGGGAAGCGACCAACUAGAGAGCGACAACACUCAUCAAAAUGCAUUGAGAUUAACCAACAAUGAGUGCAAGCAUGAGUAGGACAUAAAUCACCAUGAACAUGAACAUCAUAGAGGCUAUGUUGAUUUUGUUUCAACUACAUGCGUGAACAUGCACCAAGUCAAGCCACUUGAAACAUUCAAAGGAGGAUACCAUCCUAUCAUACUACAUCAUAGUCAUCUCAACAUUCAUUUUGGCAACCAAGGCAAACUAUUAUAAGCUCCUAGCUAAGUAAGCAUGGCAUAAGCAACUAUGAUCUCUAAGUUGUCAUUGCAAACAUGUUUCUCUCACAACAAAGCUGAAUCAGGCAUGAUGAGCUAGUCAUAUUAUAAAAACAAAAUAGAUCGAGUUCAUACCAGCUUUUCCAGGCUCAGUCACUUCAUCAUAUAUCGUCAUUAUUGCCUUUCACUUGCACGACCGAACGAUGUGAACAAUAAUAAGAGUGCUCGUGCAUUGGACUACGCUGGAAUCUGCAGGCAAACACAAAGGAGAAGACAAGUAAUAUGGCUCUUUGAAAGCUAAACAGGUAUGCAUGCAAGAGCCACUAAACAUUGUAAGGAUAUCUUCUACCUUGACCCUAAGAAAAAGAAAACUAUUUACACGGCAAAGCUCCCAACAAGCAAAAGAAGAAAAAUAAAAUCUUUUUGGGUUUUCUCAAACUAGACAGACACACGAAAAGAAAACGAGAAAAAGAAAAUAAACUAGCAUGGAUGAUAAACUAGCAAAGUGUGAACACCGACUAACAAAGUGAAAGCAUAAGCUAGAAUGUAAAGUCGGUGAGAACACGUACUCCCCCAAGCUUAGGCUUUUGGCCUAACUUGGUCUACUCCCAAGGAGGGAAAUAACCUGUUGGGUAACGUAGCAUAAAUUCAAUAAAUUUCCUACGCAUAUUCAGAUCUUCCUAUGGAGAGACCAGCAACGAGAGAGGGGUGAGUGCAUCUUCAUACCUUUGAAGAUCGCUAAGCGGAAGCGUUACUAGAACGUGGUUGAUGGAGUCGUACUCGCGGCGAUUCAGAUCGCGGUGUGAUUCCGAUCUAGUGCCGAACUACGGCACCUCCGCGUUCAACACACGUGCAGCCCGAUGACGUCUCCCGCACCUUGAUCCAGCAAGGAGGAGGGAGAGGUUGGGGAAGAACUCCAGCAGCACGACGACGUGGUGUCUAUGGAGAGACGAGGUCUCGCGGCAGGGCUUCACCAAGCACCAACACAGAUGAGGAGAAAGAAGAGCAGGGUUGCGCCGAGGGAGAGGGAAAAGUGUGUGCCCCAAUGGCGAAAACCCCUCUCUAUUUAUAGGAGGAGGGGGGAGGGCUGCGCCACCCUAGGGUUCCCUCCCUAGGGGCCGGCGGCCACCAGAUGGGAGAGGGGGCGGCGGUCAGGGUGGGAGGAGGUGUGGUGCGCCACCUGGUGGGCCUAAGGCCCACCUGCGCCUAGGGUUGCCCCCUUCUCCCCACCACCUGCGCCUUGGGCUGGGUGUGGGAGGCGCACCAGCCCACCUAGGGGUUGGUUCCCUCCCGCACUUGGUCCAUCUAGCCUCUCGGGGCUGGUAGCCCCUCCCGGUGGACCCCGGGGCCACUUUCGGUGGUCCCGGUGGUCCCGGUACGUUACCGGUGACACCCGAAACACUUCUGGUGUCCAAAACCAUCCGUCCUAUAUAUCAAUCUUUACCUCCGGACCAUUUCGGAGCUCCUCGUGAUGUCCGGGAUCUCAUCCGGGACACCGAACAACUUUCAGUGACCUCGUAUAACAAUUCCCUAUAAUCCUAGCGUCAUCGAACCUUAAGUGUGUAGACCCUACGGGUUCGGGAGGGAGGCAGACAUGACCGAGACACCUCUCCGGCCAAUAACCAUCAGUGGGGUCUGGAUACCCAUGGUGGCACCCACUUGCUCCAGGAUGAUCUCAUCGGAUGAACCACGAUGUCAAGGAUUCAAUCAAUCCCGUAUACAGUUCCCUUUGUUUGUCGGUAUAGAACUUGCCCGAGAUUCGAUCGUCGGUAUACCUAUACCUUGUUCAAUCUCGUUACCGAUAAGUCUCUUUACUCGUUCCGUAGCACAUCAUCGUGUGACUAACUCCUUAGUCACAUUGAGCUCAUGAUGAUGUUCUACCGAGUGGGCCCAGAGAUACCUCUCCGUCACACGGAGUGAUAAAUCCCGAUCUCGAUUCGUACCAACCCAACACACACUUUCAGAGGUACCCGUAGUGCACCUUUAUAGUCACCCAGUUACGUUGUGACGUUUGAUACACCCAAAGCACUCCUACGGUAUCCGGGAGUUGCACAAUCUCAUGGUCGAUGGAAAAGACACUUGACAUUAGAAAAGCUUUAGCAUACGAACAAUAUGAUCUAGUGCUACGCUUAGGAUUGGGUCUUGUCCAUCACAUCAUUCUCCCAAUGAUGUGAUUCCGUUAUCAAUGACAUCUAUUGCCCAUGACCAGGAAACCAUGAUCAUCUAUUGACCAACGAGCCAGCCAACUAGAGGCUUGCUAGGGACACAUUGUGAUAUAUUUAUUCACAUAUGUAUUACUGUUUCCUAUUAAUACAAUUAUAGCAUGAACAAUAGACGAUUAUCAUGAACAGGGAAAUAUGAUAAUAACCAUUUUAUUAUUGCCUCUAGGGCAUAUUUCCAACAGUCUCCCACUUGCACUACAGUCAAUAAUCUAGUUACAUUGUGAUGUAUCGAACACCCAUAGCAUUAUGGUGUUGAUCAUGUUUUGCUCGUGGAAGAGGUUUAGUCAACGGGUCUGCAACAUUCAGAUCCGUGUGUACUUUACAAAUCUCUAUUACUCUACUCUGGACAUGGUCCUGGAUGGAGUUGUAGCGGCGUUUGAUGUACUUCGUCUUCCGGUGAAAUUUGGGCUCCUUGGCUAUGGCAAUGGUCCCAGUGUUAUCACAGAAGAGUGUCAUUGGACCCGACGAGCUUGGAACCACUCCAAGGUCGGUGAUGAGCUCCUUCAUCCAAAUUCCUUCAUGAGUUGCUUCUGAAGCAGCUAUGUACUCCUCUUCACAUGUAGAUGCUGCCACGACUUCUUGCUUGCUGCUGCACCAGCUCACUGCCCCACCAUUUAAAACAUAUACAUAUCUGGUCUGUGACUUAGAGUCAUCCGGAUCUGUGUCGAAGCUAGCGUCGACGUAACCCUUCACGAAGAGCUCUUCAUCACCUCCAUAAACGAGAAACAUUUCCUUAGUCGUUUUCAGGUACUUAAGGAUAUUCUUGACCGUUGUCCAGUGUUCCAUACUGGGAUUACUUUGGUACCUCCCUACCAAACUUAUGGCAAGGUUUAUAUCAGGUCUGGUACACAGCAUGGCAUACAUUAGAGAGCCUGCGGCUGAAGCGUAGGGGACAGUACUCAUCUUCUCUCUAUCUGCUGCCGUGGUCGGUGACUGAGUCUUACUCAAUCUCAUACCUUGCAAAACUGGCAAGAACUCUUUCUUUGAGUUUUCCAUAUUAAACUUCUUCAAUAUCUUGUCAAGGUAUGUACUUUGUGAAAGACCUAUGAGGCGUCUCGAUCUAUCUCUAUAGAUCUUGAUGCCUAAUAUGUAUGCAGCUUCUCCAAGGUCCUUCAUUGAAAAACUCUUGUUCAAAUAGGCCUUUAUGCUCUCCAACAUCUCUAUAUUAUUCCCCAUCAAGAAUAUGUCAUCCACAUACAGUAUGAGGAAAGCUACAGAGCUCCCACUCACUUUCUUGUACAGACAGACUUCUCCGUAAACCUGUAUGAACCCAAACGCUUUAAUCACCUCAUUAAAGCGAAUGUUCAAACUCCGAGAUGCUUGCACCAGCCCAUAUAUGGAGCGCUGGAGCUUGCACACUUUGUUAGCACCCUUAGGGUCGACAAAACCUUCUGGUUGCAUCAUAUACAACUCUUCUUUAAGGUUCCCCUUAAGGAACGCUGUUUUGACGUCCAUUUGCCAAAUUUCAUAAUCAUAAAAGGCGGCAAUAGCUAACAUGAUUCAGACUGAUUUCAGCUUGGCUACGGGAGAGAAAGUCUCUUCGUAGUGAAUUCCUUGAAUUUGUCGAAAACCCUUUGCGACAAGUCGAGCUUUAUAAACGGUUACAUUACCGUUUGCAUCAGUCUUCUUGUUGAAGAUCCAUUUAUUUUCUAUGGCUCGCCGGCCAUCGGGAAAGUCCACCAAAGUCCAUACUUUGUUCUCAUACAUGGAUCCUAUCUCGGAUUUCAUAGCUUCAAGCCAUUUGUUGGAAUCCGGGCCCGCCAUCGCUUCUUCAUAGUGCGAAGGUUCACCGUUGACUAACAACAUGAUUUCCGUCAUAGGGUUGCCGUACCACUCUGGUGCGGAGCGUGCUCUUGUGGACCUUCGCGGUUCAGUAGUAACUUGAUCCGAAGCUUCAUGAUCAUUAUCAUUAACUUCCUCUUCAGUUGGUGCAGGCACCACAGGAACAAUUUCCCGCGCUGCGCUACUUUCCUGUUCGAGGGGGGGGGGUGUAAUUACCUCAUCAAGUUCUACUUUCCUCCCACUUACUUCUUUCCAGAGAAACUCUUUCUCUAGAAAGGAUCCGUUCUUGGCAACAAAGGUUUUACCUUCGGAUCUAAGAUAGAAGGUAUGCCCAAUAGUUUCCUUAGGGUAUCCUAUGAAUACACAUUUCUCCGCUUUGGGUUCGAGCUUUUCUGGUUGAAGUUUCUUCACAUAAGCAUCGCAGCCCCAAACAUUAAGAAACGACAACUUAGGUUUCUUGCCAAGCCAUAGUUCAUACGAUGUCGUCUCAACGGAUUUAGACGGUGCCCUAUUUAAAGUGAAUGCUGCAGUUUCUAAUGCAUAUCCCCAAAAUGAUAGCGGUAAGUCGGUAAGAGACAUCAUAGAUCGUACCAUAUCUAAUAAAGUGCGAUUACGACGUUCAGACACUCCGUUGCGUUGCGGUGUGCCAGGCGUCGUCAGUUGUGAAACAAUUCCACACUUCCUUAGGUGUGUGCCAAACUCGUGACUCGAAUAUUCUCCUGCACGAUCAGAUUGUAGACACUUAAUUUUUUUUUCACGUUGAUUCUUGACCUCACUCUGAAAUUCCUGGAACUUUUCAAAUGUCUCAGAUUUGUGCUUCAUCAAGUAGAUAUACCCAUACCUACUCAAAUCAUCGGUGAGAGUGAGAACAUAACGAUAGCCACCGCGAGCUUCAACGUUCAUUGGACCACACACAUCAGUAUGUAUUAUUUCCAAUAAGUCGGUUGCUCUCUCCAUUAUUCUUGAAAAUGGAGUCUUAGUCAUCUUGCCCAUGAGGCAUGGUUCACAUGUGUCAAAUGAUUCAAAGUCAAGAGACUCUAAUAGUCCAUUAGUAUGGAGCUUCUUCAUGUGCUUAACGCCGAUAUGACCAAGGCGGCAGUGCCACAAGUAUGUGGGACUAUCAUUAUCAAACUUACAUCUUUUGGUACUCACGCUAUGAAUAUGUGUAACAUCAAGAUCGAGAUUCAUCAAUAAUAAAUCAUUCACCAGCGGAGCAUGACCAUAAAACAUAUCACUCAUAUAAAUAGAACAACCAUUAUUCUCUGACUUAAAUGAGUAGCUGUCUCGCAUUAAGCAAGACCCUGAUACAAUGUUCAUGCUUAAAGCUGGUACUAAGUAACAAUUAUUAAGGUUUAAAACUAAUCCCGAUGGUAGAUGUAGAGGUAGCGUGCCGACGGCGAUCACAUCGACCUUGGAGCCAUUCCCGACGCGCAUCGUCACCUCGUCCUUGGCCAGUCUCCGCUUAUUCCGUAGUUCCUGCUUUGAGUUGCAAAUGUGAGCAACAACACCGGUAUCAAAUACCCAGGAGCUACUACGAGCGCUGGUAAGGUACACAUCAAUAACAUGUAUAUCACAUAUACCUUUAACGUUGUCGGCCUUCUUGUCCGCUAAGUGUUUGGGGCAGUUCCGCUUCUAGUGACCCUUUCCCUUGCGAUAGAAGCACUCAGUCUCAGGCUUGGGUCCAUUCUUUUUAUUAUUCCCGGUAUUUGGCUUAUCGGGCGCGGCAACGGCUUUGCCAUCUUUCUUGAAGUUCUUCUUACCCUUGCCCUUCUUGAAACUAGUGGUCUUGUUGACCAUGAACACUUGAUGCUCUUUCUUGAUUUCUACUUCUGCAGACUUGAGCAUCGAGUACAACUCGGGAAUGGUCUUCUCCAUCCCUUGUAUGUUGUAGUUCAGCACAAAACCUUUGUAGCGUGGUGGGAGAGACUGGAGGAUUAUGUCAAUUAUAGCAUCAUCCGGAAGUUCGACUCCAAGUGAAGUCAGACGACUGUGUAACCCAAACAUUUUGAGUAUGUGCUCACUGACAGAACUGUUCUCCUCCAUCUUACAGCUAAAGAACUUGUCGGAGACUUCAUAUCUCUCAACACGGGCAUGAGCUUGAAAAACUAGCUUCAGCUCUUGGAACAUCUCAUAUGCACCGUGUUGCUCAAAACACCUUUGGAGCCCCGUUUCUAAACUGUAUAACAUGCCACACCUAACCAGAGAGUAGUCAUCACUCCGCGUUUGCCAGACGUUCAGAAUGUCCUGGGCUGCUGCAGGAGCGGGAGGGUCACCUAGUGGCGCAUCAAGGACAUAAGCCUUUUUAGCUGCUUCAAGGAUGAGCUUCAAGUUGCGAACCCAGUCCGCAUAGUUGCUACCAUCAUCUUUCAGCUUGUUUUUCUCUAGGAAUGCGUUGAAAUUGAGGUUGACGUUGGCCAUCUACAAUAUUUAUAAAGACAACUUUUAGACUAAGUUCAUGACAAUUAAGUUCAUUUAAUCAAAUUAAGUAUGAACUCCCACUUAAAUCGACAUCCCUCUAGUCAUCUAAGUGAUACAUGAUCCAUGUUGACUAACCCGUGUCCGAUCAUCACGUGAGACGGACUAGUCACCAUGGUGAGCAACUUCAUGCUGAUCAUAUUCAACCAUACGACUCAUGUUCGACCUUUCGGUCUCUUGUAUUCGAGGUCAUGUCUGUACAUGCUAAGCUCGUCGAGUCAACCUAGGUGUUUCACGUGUGUAAAUCUGGCUUACACCCGUUGUAUGCGAAUGUUAGAAUCUAUCACACCCGAUCAUCACGUGGUGCUUCGAGACAACGAUCCUUCACAACGGUGCACACUUAGGGGAAUACGUUCUCGAAAUUUUAAGAGGGAUCAUCUUAUUAUGCUACUGUCGUUCUAAGCAAUAAGAUGAAAAACAUGAUAAACAUCACAAUGAAAUCAUAUAGUGACAUGAUAUGGCCAUUAUCAUCUUUGCUCUUUCGAUCUCCAUCUUCAGGCAUCGCAUGAUCAUCAUCAACACCGGCGUGACACCAUGAUCUCCAUCAUCGUGUCUCCAUGAAGUCGUCGCGCCAACUACUACUAUCACUACUACUAUAGCUAACCGUUAGCAAUGAAGUAAAAGUAGUAAGCACAUGGUGUUGCAUCUCAUACAACAAAUUAAGACAACUCCUAUGGAUCCUGCCGGUUGUCAUACUCAUCGACAUGCAAGUCGUGAAACCUAUUACAAUAACAUGAUCAUAUCAUACAUCAUUCAUGCAACAUCACAACUUUGGCCAUAUCACAUCACAUGUCAAACCCUGCAAAAACAAGUUAGACGUUCUCUAAUUGUUGUUGCAAGUUUUACGUGGCUGAUUUGGGUUUCUAGCAAGAACGCUUUCUUACCUACGUGACAACCACAACGAUGAUAUGCCAAAGCUAUUUACCCUUCAUAAGGACCCUUUUCGUCAAAUCCAACCCGACUAGGGUAGGAGAGACAGACACCCGCUAGCCACCUUUAUGCACGGUGUGCAUGUCUGUCGGUGGAACCAGUCUCACGUAAGUGUACGUGUAAUGUCGGUCCGGGCCGCUUCAUCCCACAAUACCGCCAGAAAAGAAUAAGACUCGUAGCGGCAAGGAAUUGAAAAAUCAUUGCCCACAACCUUUUGUGUUCUACUCGUGCAUAGAAUCUACGCAUAGAAAACCUGGCUCGGAUGCCACUGUUGGGUAACGUAGCAUAAAUUCAAAAAAUUUCCUACGCAUAUUCAGAUCUUCCUAUGGAGAGACCAGCAACGAGAGAGGGUGAGUGCAUCUUCAUACCUUUGAAGAUCUCUAAGCGGAAGCGUUAGUAGAACGCGGUUGAUGGAGUCGUACUCGCGGCGAUUCAGAUCGCGGUGUGAUUCCGAUCUAGUUCCGAACUACGGCACCUCCGCGUUCAACACACGUGCAGCCCGGUGACGUCUCCCGCACCUUGAUCCAGCAAGGAGGAGGGAGAGGUUGGGGAAGAACUCCAGCAGCACGACAGCGUGGUGUCGAUGGAGAGACAAGGUCUCCCGCCAGGGCUUCGCCAAGCACCGGCAGAGAUGAGGAGAAAGAAGAGCAGGGCUGUGCCGCGGGAGAGGGAAAACUGUGUGCCCCAAUUGCCAAAACCCCUCUUUAUUUAUAGGAGGAGGGGGAGGGAUGCGCCACCCCUAGGGUUCCCUACCUAGGGGCCGGAGGCCACCAGAUGGGAGAGGGGGCGGCGGUCAGGGUGGGAGGAGGUGUGGNAUACAAUUAUAGCAUGAACAAUAGACGAUUAUCAUGAACAAGGAAAUAUGAUAAUAACCAUUUUAUUAUUGCCUCUAGGGCAUAUUUCCAACAUAACCAGCUCCGGGGUACUUUUCUACCGGACGCUAAAUCAGAAAACAGGGAAAACUAAACUAAAUCUAUCAUUUUUCUUCUAAGCAACGUAAAGUGAAAGCUUGGAACCGAGGUUUGUGACUCCUCGAUUCAUCCAUCCCAUGGUCAUCGAAAGAAAUCCGUCAAUGGGGUUGAUCAAGUCCACUCGACAAAACUUUCUCGAAUCGCAAAAGAGAACAGAGAAUUUUCGAAUAGUCACUAGGUCACCUCAAUGGGGAUGUGUUUCUCCCCAACAAGCAAAUCAUACUUCAUCUUGACACGAGGAAUAGGGCAUUCAAAGCUCCCGAUAAGAAUCGAUGAAGUUUUUUCGAUAGCAUUGAUGCAAUGUACUCGAUAUUGUUUCUUCGGAAACUGCACCGUAUGCUCAUUACCGUUGACAUAGAAAGUGAAAUUGCCUUUGUUGCAACCUAUAACAGCCCCUGCAGUGUUUAAAAAGGGUCUUCCGAGGAUGACAACCAUGGCAUCAUCCUCGGGAAUAUCCAAGAUAACAAAGUCUGUUAAGAGAGUGGUGUUAGCAACCACAACAGGCACAUCCUCGCAAAUGCCGAUAGGGAAAGCAGUUCAUUUGUCGGCCAUUUGCAGAGAGAUUUCAGUGGGUGUCAACUUAUCCAGUUCAAGUCUACGAUAAAGAGAGAGAGGCAUAACACUAACACCGGCUCCAAGGUCGCAUAAAGCAGUCCUAACGUAGUUUCCUUUAAUGGAGCAAGGUAUAGUGGGCACACCGGGAUCACCUAGUUUCUUAGGAGUUCCACCCUUGAAAGUGUAAUUAUCAAGCAUGGCGGAAAUCUCAACCUCAGGUAUCCUCCUCUUAUUAGUCACAAUAUCUUUCAUGUACUUGGCAUACGGAGACAUUUUGAGCAUAUCCAUCAAACGCAUUUGCAGAAAUACAUGUCUGAUCAUCUCAACGAAGCGCUCAAAAUCCUCAUCAUCCUUUUUCUUGGAUGGUUUGGGAGGAAAGGGCAUAGGUUUCUCAACCCAUGGUUCCCUUUCUUUACCGUGCUUCCUAGCAUGGAAGUUAUUUUUAUCGUAUCUCUGAGUCUUAGGUUGUGGAUUAUCAAGAUCAACACUAGGUUCAAUCUCCACAUCCUUAUCAUUGCUAGGUUGAGCAUCAUCAUGAACAUCACUAUUGAUAUCAUCAUUAGGCUCAUGUUCAUCACCAGAUUGUGUUUCAGCAUCAGAGACAGAGGCAUCGUUUGGACUCUCAUGUGUAGCAGCAACAGGGUUGCUAGCGUGUAGUUUCCUAUCAUCUUUCUUCUUCUUUCUAGGAUGACUAGGUGCAUCAGUGCUAACUCCUUGAGAAUCUUGUUCAAUUCUCUUCGGAUGACCCUCACGAUACAGGGGUUCCUGGGUCAUUCUACCGCCUCUAGUAACGACUCUGACGGAAUUGUCAUUCAACUCAUUGAGCAUGUCAUUCUGAGCUUUAAGUACUUGUUCUACCUAAGUAGUAACCAUAGAGGAAUGUUUACUCAAAAGUUUAAGAUCGUUGACGUUUCUGUCCACACAAGCACUUAAAUGACUAAACAUACGAGCAAUUUUUUCCAAUUGUGUGCUAACAUAAUCAUUGAAACUCUAUUGUUUGGCAACAAAGUUAUCAAAUUCAUCCAUGCAUAGGCUAUCAGGUUAAUCAAAAGUAAUAUCACUCUCAUCAAACAUACACAGAGAAUUUACUUCUACUACCUGUAUCGAGUUAUCGAGACGAUGGAUCUCUUCGAUAGGUGGUAAAUUUUUGACAUCUUCAGAUUUAAUGCCUUUUUCUCGCAUAGAUUUCUUAGCUUCUUGCAUAUCUUCAGGACUGAGGAAUAGAAUACCUCUUUUCUUCGGAGUUGGCUUAGGAGGUGGUUCGGGAAUAGUCCAUGCAUUCUCAUUGCACAAGAUGUUAUUCGGUAGAAUCUCAGCUUGUUCUACAGUUCGUUCCCUAAAAACACUACCGACACAACUAUCUAGAUGGUCUUUGGAAGCAUCGGUAAGUCCAUUAUAAAAUAUAUCAAGUAUUUCGUUCUUCUUAAGAGGGUGAUCAGGCAAAGCAUUCAUUAGCUGGAUAAGCCUCCCCCAAGCUUGUGGGAGACUCUCUUCUUCAGCUUGAGCAAAGUUGUAUAUUUCCUGCAAGGCAGCUUGCUUCUUAUGGGCACGGAAAUAUUUUUCAGAGAAGUAGUAGACCAUAUCCUGGGGGCUACGCACACAACUAGGUGCAAGAGAAGUGAACCAUGUCUUAGCAUCAUCCUUUAGCGAGAAAGGAAACAGCUUGAGCAUAUAGUAGUGGCGGAUCUUUUCCUCACUAGUGAAUAGGGUGGCUAUAUCGUGCAGUUUGGUAAGAUUGGCUACAACCGUUUCAGACUCAUAACCGUGAAAAGGAUCAGACUCGACCAGAGUGAUUAACUCAGGGUCGACAGAGAAUUCAUAAUCCUUAUCGGUCACAAAGAUAGGUGAAGUAGCAAACUUCGGGUCGUAUUUCAUCCUAGCGUUCAGAUAUUUUUCUUUCCACUUGCGUAGAAGUUUCUCAACAUCAUAGCUAUACUUACACACAAGAAAAUCCUCAACUAUCUCUCCCUCCAUAACAUAGCGCGUAUCAGGCAUAACAGGCAAUUCAGGCAUAGUAGCAGGUUCUACUUCAAUAGUAUCAGCAGUUUCAGAAGUAUCAUCACAUCUAGUAGCAACUCUAGCAAUAUGUGCAUCAAGGAAUGCACCAAGUGGAAAAGCAGUAUCAUGCAUAGCAUGAUCAGGCAUAGUAUCAAGCAUAGCAUCAUCAGGCAUAGUAUCAAGCAUAGCAUCAUGAGGCAUAGCAUCAAGCAUAGCAUCAUCAGGCAUAGUAUCAAACAUAGCAUCAUCAGGCAUAGUAUCAAGCAUAGCAGCAUCAUAAGCAUCAUGGCCAGCAGAAGUAGCAUCAUCAAGCACAGGCGACAUAUCAAGAUUUCUAGUAGGAGGCGAAGUCGCAAACUUACUCAAAACUGAUGGUGAAUCAAGUGCAGAGCUAGAUGGCAGUUCCUUACCUCUCCUCGUAGUUGAAGGUAGGAUUUUAGUUCUUGGAUCUUUUGGAUUCCUCAUAGUGAUCAGCAGACGUCAAUCCCAAGUGACUCAGAGAAUAUAGCUAUGCCUCCCCGGCAACGGCGCCAGAAAAAGCCUUGAUGUCCCACAAGCGUAUGGGAUCGCAGCAGUUUUCGAGGGUAGAGUAUUCAACCCAAAUUUAUUGAUUCGCCAAGACGGGAAGCGAAAGAAUAUUCUCAAGUAUUAACAGCUGAAUGUGUCAGAUUCAACCACACCUGAAAGAUUAGUGUCUGCAAGCAAAGUAUCAGUAGCAAGGUAGUAUGAUAGCAACGGUGCCAGAAACGAUCCGUUGACACGACAGACUAUUCCUAACAACUGUAUCAAUGGCGCCAACACGUUGAUGGGGGAUUAUUCUUGAGAAGAAUGCUUCCCCAGCUACGACUCCAACAAAGUCUUGCAAUAAGUAACAGCGAAGCAGCAAGGAACAGCAGCAGCAGCAGCAGCAAAGUAACAGGAGUAGCAACAGUAGCAGCAAAGUGACAGCAGUAGUAACAGUAGCAGCAAAGUGGCCCAAUCCCUUCUGUAGCAAGGGACAAGCCUAGACAAAGUAACGUAGCGAGGACCAGUAGUAAAAGACUCGUAGGCAGUGGAUCAGUGAUGGAUGAGUAUGACGGAUGUGAUUCAUCAUGCAACAGCUAUAACACGGAGAGAUAUGUAACUAGCUCCCGUUCAUCAAUCUAGUGUAGGCAUGUAUUCCGUAUGUAGUCAUACAUGCUUAGGGAAAAGAACUUGCAUGACAUCUAUUGUCCAUCCCUCCCGUGGUAGCGGGGUCCUAAUGGAAACUACGGGAUAUUGAGGUUCUCCUUUUAAUAAAGAACCGGACCAAUGCAUUAACAUGCGGUGAAUACAUGAACUCCUCAUACUAUGGUCAUCUCCGGGAGUGGUUCCGGCUAUUGUCACUCCGGGGUUGCCAGGUCAUAACACAUAGUAGGUGACUACAACUUGCAAGAUAGGAUCUAAAACACACAUANNNNNNNNNNNNNNNNNNNNNNNNNNNNNNNNNNNNNNNNNNNNNNNNNNNNNNNNNNNNNNNNNNNNNNNNNNNNNNNNNNNNNNNNNNNNNNNNNNNNNNNNNNNNNNNNNNNNNNNNNNNNNNNNNNNNNNNNNNNNNNNNNNNNNNNNNNNNNNNNNNNNNNNNNNNNNNNNNNNNNNNNNNNNNNNNNNNNNNNUCAUGGCACUCGGGCCCGAGUGACAAGCAUUAAGCAUAGCCAAGUAGUAGCAACAUCAAUCUAGAACAUAGUGGAUACUAGGGAUCCAUCCCCAUCAAAAACUAACUCGAUUACAUGAUAGAUCUCAUCCAACUCAUCAUCGUCCAGCAAGCCUACGAUGAGAUUACUCAUGAACGAUGAAGAGCAUCAUAGAAUUGUCGAUGGAGAAAGGUUGAUGAUGACGAUGACGACGAUUUCCCCUCUCCGGAGCCCGAAACGGACUCCAGAUCUGCCCUCCAGAUGAAGAACAGGAUCUGGCGGCGCCUCCGUAUCGCAAAACGCGAUGAAACCUUCUCUCUGGGUUUUUUCCAGGCGAAACGGAAGAUAUAGAGCUGAGAUUGGGGGCGGUGGUGCCACGUGGGCGCCACAUGCCUGCACGGUGCGACCAUAGGGGGUGGCCGCGGCCUGUGGGCUUGUGGCCCACUGGCAUGCCCCCUCUAGUGGAUCUUUGCGCAGGUAUUUUUCUUUUAUUCCAGAAAAAGUCUCAGUAAAUUUUCAGGACGUUCCGAGAACUUUUAUUUCUACAAAAAAACAACACCAUGGCAAUUCUGCUGAAACCAUCGUCAGUCCGGGUUAGUUCCAUUCAAAUCAUGCAAAUUAGAGUCCAAAACAAGGGCAAAAGAGUUCAGAAAAGUAGAUACGACGGAGAUGUAUGAAGCGGUCGGGCAAUGAAUUUAUUUUUAUAAUCAAUGCCUCAGCAAGUCCAUUCUGUGUAUGAACGUACGGUACCAAGUGCUCAACUUUGAUUCUUGUUGCCAUGCAAUAAUCAUCAAAUGCCUUUGAAGCAAAUUCUCCGGCGUUGUCCAUUCAAAGAGACUUUAUAUGAUGAUCACGGAAAUUGUUCCUCAUUUGUAUGAUGUGAGAGAUCAACUUUGCAAAGGCAUGACCAUUCAGAGGAAGCAUUGAUGAGCACCAUGAAGUACCUAAACGGCCUUGUGAGGGGCUGAAUUGGACUGCAUAUGUCCCCUUGGAUACUGAUACGUCUCCAUCGUAUCUACUUUUCCAAACUCUUUUGCCCUUGUUUUGGACUCUAAUUUGCAUGAUUUGAAUGGAACUAACCUGGACUGACGCUGUUUUUAGCAUAAUUGCCUUGGUGUUGUUUUCGUGCAGAAAUGAAAGUUCUCAGAACGUCCUAAAAAUUUACUGAGAAUAUUUCUGGAAAAUAUGAAAAAUACCUGCGCAAAGAUCCACCGGAGGGGAUGGGCCAGUGGGCCACAAGCCCUGUAGCCUCCACCCCCCUGGUGGCGGCUAGCAAGCUUGUGGGGCCCACGUGGCUCUGUCACCCCCAAUCUCAGCUCUAUAAAUUCACUUUCCUCCCAGAAAAAAUCAAGAGAAAAGAUUUCGUCGCGUUUGUGAUACGGAGGCGCCGCCACAUCCCGUUCUUCAUCUGGAGGGUAGAUCUGGAGUCCGUUUUGGGCUCCGGAGAGGGGAAAUCGUCGCCAUCGUCAUCAUCAACCUUCUUCCCUCUCCAAUUCCAUGAAGCUCUUCAUCGUUUGCGAGUAAUCUAUUCGUAGGCUCGCUGGGCGGUGAUGAGUAGGAUGAGAUCUAUCAUGUAAUCGAGUUAGUUUUGACGGGGAUUUAUCCCUAGUAUCCACUAUGUUCUGAGAUUGAUGUUGCUACUACUUUGCCAUGCUUAAUGCUUGUCACUAGGGCCCGAGUGCCAUGANNNNNNNNNNNNNNNNNNNNNNNNNNNNNNNNNNNNNNNNNNNNNNNNNNNNNNNNNNNNNNNNNNNNNNNNNNNNNNNNNNNNNNNNNNNNNNNNNNNNNNNNNNNNNNNNNNNNNNNNNNNNNNNNNNNNNNNNNNNNNNNNNNNNNNNNNNNNAUGAUUUCAGAUCUGAAAUUAUUAUGUUGUCACCAAUAUAUGCGUGUUUUAGAUCCUAUCUUGCAAGUUGUAGUUACCUACUAUGUGUUAUGAUCCGGCAACCCCGGAGUGACAAUAACCGGAACCACUCCCGGUGAUGACCAUAGUUUGAGGAGUUCAUGUGUUCACCAAGUGCUAAUGCGUUGGUUUGGUUCUUUAUUAAAAGGAGAACCUUAAUAUCCCAUAGUUUCCUUUUGGACCCCGCUGCCACGGGAGGGAUGGAGAAUAGAUGUCAUGCAAGUUCUUUUCCCUAAGCACGUAUGACGACAUACGGAAUGCAUGCCUACAUCAUAUUGACGAACGGGAGCUAGCCACAUAUCUCUCCGUGUUAUAACUGUUGCAUGAUGAAUAUCAUUCAAACAAGUCACCAACCCAUUGCCUACGAGUUUGUCCCACUGCUGCUGUUACUUGCUACUGUUGCUACUUGCUGCUGUUGUUACUUGCUACUGUUGCUACUUGCUACUGCUGUCACUACUGAUGUUCCUUGCCACUGCCGCUACUCGUUACACUGCUGCUACCUGCUACAAUUUUGGUUCGUUGGUCGUUGACGGGAAAAGACAAUUUCCGUCAACGGGCAACUUCUGGCGCCAUUGAUACGACAGUUAGGAAUAGUGUGCCGUCAACAGAUCGUUUCUGACACCGUUGCUAUCAUACUACUUUGCUGUCGACACUUUGCUUGCAGAUACUAAUCUUUCAGGUGUGGUUGAAUCUGACACAUUCAGCUGCUAAUACUUGAGAGUAUCCUCUCACCUCCUAUCAGCGAAUCAACAAAUUGGGUUGAAUACUCUACCCUCGAAAACUGCCUCGAUCCCACGCGCUGGUGGGUCAUUGCAAGACAAUUUCUAAUUGUUGAGCAAUCGAGAACAACAUUCGUCUAGCUAUUGCCAGAGAGUGCUAGUCAGAUACGCUCUAAGAACGCGGGUAUUUCAUCCCUCAUCUUGAGGGGCGAUGGCCUAAUGACUAACGUCCCCGUGGCGCAUGCGGAGCAUACGAAACCAUCAGGAUUCGGGAAGUUAUUCAUGUUAACAUUAUGACCAUGCAAGUUGUUAAUUAUAUUCCUCAUCAUCCUAAGUCCGGGGUGGCCUAACCUAUCAUGCUAGAGGCAGAAAAGUUUGGAGCUUCUAAAGACAGCCUUAAGGGUAGUGUACACUGGGGGUUGAUACGUCUCCAACGUAUCUAUAAUUUUUGAUGGUUCCAUGCUAUUAUCUUGUCAACUUUGGAUGUUUUGUAUGCAUGAAUAUGCUAUUUUAUAUCUUUUUUGGGACUAACCUAUUAACCCAGUGCCAAGUGCCAGUUUCUGUUUUUUCCGUGUCUUUUUACCUUUUUCAGCGGAGAAUAUUAAACGGAGUCCAAACGGAAUAAAACCAGCGAAAUGAUUUUUUCCAUAACAGAAGAUACGUAGGAAACUUAAGAACCAAGGCAAAGGACUUCCGAGGAGGUCACAAGCCCACUAGGCCCGGCCUGGGGGGCCUAGCAGGCUUGUGGUCUCCCCAUGGCUCCUCUGCCCUACUUCUUCCGCCUAUAAAUUCUCCAAAAAUCCAGAAACGCCAGAGAGAGCCACGAAAAUACUUUUCCACCGCUGCAAGCUUCUGUCUCCGCAAGAUCCCAUCUGGGGCACGUUCUGGUGCCCUACCGGAGGGGGGAUUCGGACACGGAGGGCUUCUUCAUUAACACCGUUGCCUCUACGAUGAUGCGUGAGUAGUUCACCACAGACCUUCGGGUCCAUAGCUAGUAGCUAGAUGGCUUCUUAUCUCUCUUGGAUCUUCAAUACAAAGUUCUCCAUGAUCUUCAUGGAGAUCUAUCCGAUGUAACCUUCUUUUGCGGUGUGUUUGUCGAGAUCUGAUGAAUUGUGGAUUUAUGAUCAGAUUAUCUAUGAUUAUUAUUUGAGUCUCCUCUGAUCUCUUAUAUGCAUGAUUUCGUAUCCUUGUAAUUCUAUUCGAGUUGUGGGUUUCGUUUGGCCAACUUGAUCUAUAAUUCUUGCAAUGGGAGAAGCGCUUGGUUUUGGGUUCAUACCGUGCGGUGUCCUCACCUAGUGACAGAAGGGGUAGCGAGGCACGCAUCAUGUUGUUGCCAUCAAGGGUAAAAAGAUGGGGUUUAUAUCUAUUGCAUGAAUUUAUCCCUCUACAUCAUGUCAUCUUGCUUAAGGCGUUACUCCGUUUGUUAUGUACUUAAUACACUAGAUGCAUGCUGGAUAGCGGUUGAUGUGUGGAGUAAUAGUAGUAGAUGCAGAAAGUAUCGGUCUACUUGUCUCGGACGUGAUGCCUAUAUGUAUGAUCAUUGCCUUAGAUAUCAUCAUGACUUUGUGCGAUUCUAUCAAUUGCUCGACGGUAAUUCGUUCACCCACCGUAAUACUUGCUAUCAUGAGAGAAGCCUCUAGUGAACACUAUGGCCCCCGGGUCUACUUCAUAUCAUAUUUUCAGCUCUACAGUUUUACUUUGUUGCACUUUCCACCUUCAGAUCUCACCUUUCAAUUAAUCGUGAAGGGAUUGACAACCCCUUUAUAGCGUUGGGAGCAAGUUUGUUUGUUUUUGCGCAUGUACAUUGGUGACUUGUCUUGAUACUCCCACUGGAUUGAUACCUUGGUUCUCAAACUGAGGGAAAUACUUAAUGCUACUGUGCUGCAUUACCCUUUCCACCUCAAGGGAAAAACCAACGCAAGCUCAAGAGGUAGCAAGAAGAAUUUCUGGCGCCGUUGCCGGGGAGUAUCAAGUCAAUAAUAGUCUUCCUUCAACGUGUCAAUUUCUGGCAUCGGGGACUAUUCUAAGUGAAGCUUAUCCAAGUAACUGUCGCAAACUCAGCUCUUGCAUUUACUUUUUUGCCUUUUGCCUCUCGUUUUCCUAUCCCCCACUUCUGAAAAACAAAAAUUUACAAAAAUAUUUGCCUUUUUUGUCUGCCUUUCCUUUGCUUGUGUGCUAUGUGCCUUCAAUUUGCUUGGGUAACGUAGCAUAAAUUCAAAAUUUUCCUAUGCCAUAUUCAGAUCUUCCUAUGGAGAGACCAGCUACGAGAGAGGGGUGAGUGCAUCUUCAUACCUUUGAAGAUCGCUAAGCGGAAGCGUUGCUAGAACGCGAUUGAUGGAGUCGUACUCGCGGCGAUUCAGAUCGCGGUGUGAUUCUGAUCUAGUGCCGAACCACGGCACCUCCGCGUUCAACACACGUGCAGCCCGUUGACGUCUCCCGCACCUUUAUCCAACAAGGAGGAGGAAGAGGUUGGGGAAGAUCUCCGGUAGCACGAUGGCGUGGUGUCGAUGGAGAGACGAGAUCUCCCGGCAGGGCUUCGCGAAGCACCGUGGGAGAGGAGGAAGGAGGGGGGCAGGGCUACACCGAGGGAUAGGGAAAACUGUGUGUAAAACAGCCCCCAAACCCCCACUAUAUAUAGGAGGAGGGGAGGGGGGGGUGCCCCCCUAGGGUUCCCAUCCUAGGUGGUGCGGCAGCCCCCCAGAUGGGAGGUGCGGCGGCCAGGGCAGGGGGAGGGGGUGGCGCACCCCUAGGUGGGCCUUAGGCCCACCAGCGCCUAGGGUUCCCCCCCUCUCCAACUCCUACUCCUUGGGCCUCUUUGUGGGAGGCGCACCAGCCCACUUGGUCUGGUUGCCCUCCCUCUUUUCGCCCAUGCUACCUCUUGGGGCUGGUGGCCCCUCCCGGUGGACCCCCGGGACCAUUUCCGGUGGUCCCGGUACACUACCGGUGACGCCCGAAACAUUUCCGGUGUCCAAAACCAUCCAUCCUAUAUAUCAAUCUUUACAUCCGGACCAUUCCGGAGCUCCUCGUGACGUCCGGGAUCUCAUCCGGGACUCUGAUCAACUUUCUUUAACCUCGUAUAACAAUUCCCUAUAACCCUAGCAUCAUCGAACCUUAAGUGUGUAGACCCUACGGGUUCGGCAGAGAGGCGCACAUGACCGAGACACCUCUCCGGCCAAUAACCAUCAGCGGGAUCUGGAUACCCAUGAUGGCUCCCAGUUGCUGCACGAUGAUCUCAUCGGAUGAACCACGACGUCAACGAUUCAAUCAAUCCCGUAUACAAUUCCCUUUGUCUGUCGGUAUAGAACUUGCCCGAGAUUCGAUCGUCGGUAUACCUAUACCUUGUUCAAUCUCGUUACCGGUAAGUCUCUUUACUCAUUCUGUAGCACGUCAUCGUGUGACUAACUCCUUAGUCACAUUGAGCUCAUGAUGAUGUUCUACCGAGUGGGCCCAGAGAUACCUCUCCGUCACGCGGAGUGACAAAUUCCGAUCUCGAUUCGUACCAACCUAACAGACACUUUCAGAGGUACCCGUAGUGCACCUUUAUAGUCACCAAGUUACGUUGUGACGUUUGAUACACCCAAAGCACUCCUACGGUAUCCGAGAGUUGCACAAUCUCACGGUCGAAGGUAAAGACACUUGACGUUAGAAAAUCUUUAACAUACGAACAAUACGAUCUAGUGCUAUGCUUAGGAUUGGGUCUUGUCCAUCACAUCAUUCUCCCAAUGAUGUGAUCCCGUUAUCAAUGACAUUUAAUGCCCAUGACCAGGAAACCAUGAUUAUCUAUUGACUAACGAGCUAGCCAACCAGAGGCUUGCUAGGGACACAUUGUGAUCUAUUUAUUCACACAUGUAUUACUGUUUCCUGUUAAUACAAUUAUAGCAUGAACAAUAGACGAUUAUCAUAAACAAGGAAAUAUGAUAAUAACCAUUUCAUUAUUGCCUCUAGGGCAUAUUUCCAACAAUAACAUGUUCUUCGGCCUUCUUGGCAUCACGAAUCCUCUCCUCCUCAAGUGCAAGACUAUACUCCUCGGCCUUCAACUUUCUCUCUUCGGCUGCCAACCCGUCCAUUCAUUUCUCAUCCUCCAACAUCUUCAGCACAUUCUACAUCGCCAUCUUCUCUUCUUUACGUUUGGCCGCAAACACCUUAUUGGUAUCGAUCACUUCAACAAGUUCUUGUUUGUAAGUGCCACCGGAUGCAUUUACCUUCUUACUUACUUUUGCAAUAUUGUUUCCUUCCCGUCUAUUGUUGCCAUCUUGAUCAACCUCGUCAUCCUCCUCAAUGAAUAUGCUCAACCUUGAUCUGUUUGGAGUGGUUUCCGAUAUUCGUUGGAUCUACUUCUCGUUCUCGCAUAGUUCUUUGUAGCAAUGAUGCAACGUGAAGGACCUGUGACCGAACUUGGUGUUCCUAUGUUUGAUUAGUUUUUGGAUAUAGGGGCUAUACUAUGCCACUUGCACACCGCUUGGUGGUGCAUUAUUCACUUGGUUGAUGCAACCAAACCAUCGAUUGCAUUGGUCAUAAAUUGUGCUCCAAUGAUGCACAAUAGAACCUUGCGUACGGCUGGAUCGCAUGUCGACAAAGUUGUUGUGGUGCUAGAUAAUUCUCACCCAAAACAUGAUUUUGAUUUGAUCCGUUCCCAUCGUUGCAUCCAUGGAGAUCGCACACCAAGCAUCGCAAAGAUUAAUAUCCUCAAUUUGGUUGUAGUUUUGGGUGCGGCACUUUGGCACCUUCGUGCUUGCUUCGGUCACCUCCACAACCUCCUCUUCCUCGGCCACCUCCUCCUCGGAAUAGCCAUCCUCGACCACCACCUCCUCUGCGUUCACCUCUUGACCCAUGUCUUGGCUGGCCAUCGAAUGAUCCCAAAAUGAGUCGUAGUUGAGCUCAUCAAGUCCAACGACAGACGAGGACUGCAAGGAGGCGAGGAAUUUGGCUGUGUUCAUCUGCGCACUACAAUAAACAGAUCAAACACUAUGAACAAUCAGUAACAGCCACCAACAAUCACUAUCGAAUACCAACAAGACGCGAGGUUCUAGUUUUACCUUGUAGGCAUUUCAUCAAGCACUUGGUGGCCGCGCUUCUUCUUGCCGGCUGUUGGCACCGCCCGAGCCGAAGCACUGGCUGUAGGGGCCGUCAAAGUUGCAGCACGAGGCGCCAACCUAGGACAAGGUGCCCCUUUGGCCUUCUUCAUCUUCUUCUUCACGGUUGCCUCGGUGAGCACCGAUGCCGCCGCCGUGAGCUUUCGAACUCGUUUGGCUCCGGCCGGUGCGACGCCAGGGCGGCGGGCCGCUGUGGGAAAGGCGGUGGCCAACCCGAAGGCCAUUGUACUCGUUAGAGGAGGAGCUCGGAUGUCCGGCGACGGUGCUUGGGUAAUUUACUGCAAUGAAAAUCCGACAAUGGUAGAUGACAGGGUGAGGGAAGGGGCCAUGCUAUCUAUUUCGACCAACCAAACAGACAUCAGUGGUGGUGGUGGUGGUUGACCGGGCUCGUACGCCAUGCGGACUCGACCCACCCUGGCUCACCUAAUCCCACAUAUAUUCGUUCUGAUAACCUCCCCAGACCAGACCCUAGGCACUCCAUUCCACUCACCUCCGCUCUACUCUGCCAUACAAACUUCCGUCCAACGAUCUUCUGCCUUCUCCAGCAUGGCUGGCAGCGGACCCGAAUCCUACACCUCCAUAUUCGUCAACCAUGAGGUCAUCCUUCGCGGCCCGAGGAGAAGAUGGUCGUCGGGCUUUUGCUCCGUCACUCUUGGGUGGUGGCCGCCCGACAACAGCUCUCGAAAUCCCUUCGUAAGGAAUCCAUUGUGUCAGCCCAAUAUGUGCAUGGGUCCAUCGUCCUUGCCUUUCUGGAGAUGUUGUGGUCCAUCUCGCGUCCGAACACAGUGUGAGACGCGCAACCCCAUCGUUGGUGCGCCGAGCUGGAGGACGCACCAUGGGCUUCCUUCAACGUAAACAUGGCGUGGCGUGUCCAUCAUGUGAGGCUGGGGGCGCAGGAGGCGGCAGAAGCCCUUGCGGAAGUGGACGCUGGCGAGACGGAGUCGCAUUCUCCGGCAUCCGUUAUGAUGAACCAAUGCGGGUGUCGCAACUGCGUCGUGGUGAACGUCAACUCCUCCGAGAAGGGAUCAUCAUCGAUCGCACGUCCACUGGCACCGUCCGGAUUGCGGGCUCCGACGAGGAAGAGUAGGGCACGGGAGAGGAUGAGGGCUCGACUCCCGUGAGCCGGCCAGUGUCCCAUGUCCUACUCUACCUCGCAUGUGACCGGACCAACACUCUAGUAGUGCAGGCGGCCACUGGACAUGGACACGGCGGGAGGCGGACGAGCUCGGCUUAUAUAUCGUUUUAUGUUGAAUGUAAUAGUAUUAAUUCGAGAUUUUUAAAUUGAUGUAUCCGGUUAUAGAAUCUACUAUUUGAGGUUGAUCGAUCAUUGUCCACCAACAUGUACAAACGUGUUCACAUGUGUGCAAGGAGUUAUAUUUGCCAAAUUCGAUUGGGCGUCGGAUCUAGAGUAUGAUGACGUGUCCAGGGACAUGUUGCCCCAGUCUGAUUCUUUCAACGACAACGUUUUUGCUUUUCAUAAACAGCUUUAAAGGUCCGUAAAGCUGCUGUUCAGCGAUGAAGCCGUGUCGAGUUCGGUUAAGAGGUGGUCUGGCUUUUUUUUGCCACUUUGACGGUGUUAAAGGAGAGGAACAUGCAAUAAUAUUUUACAUGAGAUUUUUCUAUUUUUUCAGUCUUGUAAGAUUGGUGUUGACGUGCCUUGUAAUAACAUGAUUUUAUUAUAAGACCCCGUAUUACGCUGCAAAGAAAAAAAGAUUACAGGUGUUCAAGAUUUUUCUCCGGAUGAUCGCCGCACGGAAUCGGCAGCGGGAGGGGGACCCACUCCAACAAGUUAACGUGCGGCAUGAGUGGAGUACCAGCCACCACGUAGAAAUUAUGGUGCUGUCCCUCGACCAGCACGUGUUCUUCAUGCCAGACCCCGUCAGGAAGAAACACCCCACCACGCCCCCACCUUUGAGAGCAACAGCCCACAGCACACGGUGCGGCCGUGCGAUCCUAUAAAUCAAAACCCGUCUCACCGCCUCUAAUCCAUCCUUCCCUGCUCCAACCAACACAACACCCGAUCAAGGCCAGAGCUUCCCAUCCGCACCGCGGCACUGCGAGUUCGCGAGGCCUGCAGAGCGUACACGGGGGUCGGUCGAUCUCGAUCAAGCGGCAAGAAUGGCGGCGACAGGAUGCGCUCAAAGCCGACGGUUCGCCGCAGCGUGCGGCGUUCUCAGCCGCUGUAUCAAGGCGGCAGAGCAGCGGCCGGCGGCCACGGUGGUCCUCCCCCUCAUGCCCGGAGCGGAAGUGCCCGCGCAAGAUGAGCACGCGGUGGGCUCUGCACCGGCGCACGCGCAGAUGACCAUCUUCUACGGCGGGCAGGUGCUGGUUCUGGACGAGGUCCCGGCCGACAGGGCCGCCGAUGUGCUCCGUGUCGCUGCCGUCUCAGGCAGACCGCGAGGGGACGGCGACCUGCCCAUGGCGAGGAAGGCGUCGCUGCAGCGGUUCAUGGAGAAGCGCAAGGGGAGGCGCGCCGUCCCCUACAGCCGGCCCGACGGCGACGGGUUCUCCUGUAACCGUCUUACGCUUACGCUCUGAUUCCUGUUCACGCAUACC